AUUGAACGCUGGCGGCAGGCCUAACACAUGCAAGUCGAGCGGGGUUUUCGGAACUAGAGACCGGCGCACGGGUGCGUAACGCGUAUGCAAUCUACCUUUUGCAGAGGGAUAGCCCAGAGAAAUUUGGAUUAAUACCUCAUAGUAUGUGAGAAUGGCAUCAUUUUCACAUUAAAGUCACAACGGCAAAAGAUGAGCAUGCGUCCCAUUAGCUAGUUGGUAAGGUAACGGCUUACCAAGGCAACGAUGGGUAGGGGUCCUGAGAGGGAGAUCCCCCAAACUGGGACUGAGACACGGACCAGACUCCUACGGGAUGCAGCAGUGAGGAAUAUUGGACAAUGGGCGCAAGCCUGAUCCAGCCAUGCCGCGUGCAGGAUGACGGUCCUAUGGAUUGUAAACUGCUUUUGUACAGGAAGAAACACUGGUUCGUGAACCAGCUUGACGGUACUGUAAGAAUAAGGAUCGGCUAACUCCGUGCCAGCCGCCGCCGUAACAC
rnacentral:rRNA from 1 species